AAUCAACGCUGGCGGCGUGCCUCAGACAUGCAAGUCGAACGCGAAAGUUCCCUUCGGGGGCGAGUAGAGUGGCGCACGGGUGAGUAACACGUAGGUAAUCUACCUUUGGGUGGGGAAGUAACAGCCGGAAACGGCUGCUAAUACCGCAUAAUGCAGCGGCUCGACAUCGAGACAGUUGUUAAAGCGGGGGAUCGCAAGACCUCGCGCCUAAAGAGGAGCCUGCGGCGGAUUAGCUUGUUGGUGAGGUAAUGGCUCACCAAGGCAUCGAUCCGUAGCCGGCCUGAGAGGGCGGUCGGCCACACU
rnacentral:rRNA from 1 species